AUGGCGGCCGGUGGCAUGAGCAGGGAGGAGAGGUGGAGCCUGGCCGGCGCGACGGCGCUCGUCACCGGCGGCAGCAAAGGGAUCGGCCACGCUAUCGUGGAGGAGCUGGCGGGGCACGGGGCGCGGGUGCACACGUGCGCCCGGAGCGCGGCGGAGCUGGAGGAGUGCCGCCGCCGGUGGGAGGCCAAGGGGCUCCCGGUCACCGUCUCCGUCUGCGACGUCUCCCUGCGCGCCAGCAGGGAGCAGCUCGUGGAGACGGUCAAGUAA
rnacentral:rRNA from 1 species